rnacentral:rRNA from 1 species
AUGGAAUUCACCGCCGCGGAUAUCUUUCAGCACUCGCCCUUUGGCGACAUCCUAAAUUCACUAAGGUCUCUCUCUUUGUCAGGAGAGCCCUGGACGGAUUAUGGCCAACAGGAUUGGGAUGCGGACGACGAAGAAAUUCGACACCCACCCACCACCCACUUCGUAGCCACUGUCGAUGAUUUAACCGACAUGCUCGACUUCGACUCCGAAGACAUCGACGGUAUGGACGAUGAUGUAGGAGAAGAACAUGAAUCAGCACCUAUAGGGCACUGGAAAGCCACCUCGUCAUAUGACAUAUACAUGGUGGAUACACCCAACGAAGGCAAUGGCGACGAGAUAGCGGAGGAUGACCCCUCCAAGAAGCAACCCAAGCGCCGACGUCAGCGGCGCCGCUCUAAGUCCCGCCAAAGCAAAAGUGGUGAUACCGGCACAUGA